rnacentral:rRNA from 1 species
GGUUAAGCGACUAAGCGUACACGGUGGAUGCCCUGGCAGUCAGAGGCGAUGAAGGACGUGCUAAUCUGCGAUAAGCGUCGGUAAGGUGAUAUGAACCGUUAUAACCGGCGAUUUCCGAAUGGGGAAACCCAGUGUGAUUCGUCACACUAUCAUUAACUGAAUCCAUAGGUUAAUGAGGCGAACCGGGGGAACUGAAACAUCUAAGUACCCCGAGGAAAAGAAAUCAACCGAGAUUCCCCCAGUAGCGGCGAGCGAACGGGGAGCAGCCCAGAGCCUGAAUCAGUGUGUGUGUUAGUGGAAGCGUCUGGAAAGGCGCGCGAUACAGGGUGACAGCCCCGUACACAAAAAUGCACAUGCUGUGAGCUCGAUGAGUAGGGCGGGACACGUGGUAUCCUGUCUGAAUAUGGGGGGACCAUCCUCCAAGGCUAAAUACUCCUGACUGACCGAUAGUGAACCAGUACCGUGAGGGAAAGGCGAAAAGAACCCCGGCGAGGGGAGUGAAAAAGAACCUGAAACCGUGUACGUACAAGCAGUGGGAGCACGCUUAGGCGUGUGACUGCGUACCUUUUGUAUAAUGGGUCAGCGACUUAUAUUCUGUAGCAAGGUUAACCGAAUAGGGGAGCCGAAGGGAAACCGAGUCUUAACUGGGCGUUAAGUUGCAGGGUAUAGACCCGAAACCCGGUGAUCUAGCCAUGGGCAGGUUGAAGGUUGGGUAACACUAACUGGAGGACCGAACCGACUAAUGUUGAAAAAUUAGCGGAUGACUUGUGGCUGGGGGUGAAAGGCCAAUCAAACCGGGAGAUAGCUGGUUCUCCCCGAAAGCUAUUUAGGUAGCGCCUCGUGAACUCAUCUCCGGGGGUAGAGCACUGUUUCGGCAAGGGGGUCAUCCCGACUUACCAACCCGAUGCAAACUGCGAAUACCGGAGAAUGUUAUCACGGGAGACACACGGCGGGUGCUAACGUCCGUCGUGAAGAGGGAAACAACCCAGACCGCCAGCUAAGGUCCCAAAGUCAUGGUUAAGUGGGAAACGAUGUGGGAAGGCCCAGACAGCCAGGAUGUUGGCUUAGAAGCAGCCAUCAUUUAAAGAAAGCGUAAUAGCUCACUGGUCGAGUCGGCCUGCGCGGAAGAUGUAACGGGGCUAAACCAUGCACCGAAGCUGCGGCAGCGACGCUUAUGCGUUGUUGGGUAGGGGAGCGUUCUGUAAGCCUGUGAAGGUGUGCUGUGAGGCAUGCUGGAGGUAUCAGAAGUGCGAAUGCUGACAUAAGUAACGAUAAAGCGGGUGAAAAGCCCGCUCGCCGGAAGACCAAGGGUUCCUGUCCAACGUUAAUCGGGGCAGGGUGAGUCGACCCCUAAGGCGAGGCCGAAAGGCGUAGUCGAUGGGAAACAGGUUAAUAUUCCUGUACUUGGUGUUACUGCGAAGGGGGGACGGAGAAGGCUAUGUUGGCCGGGCGACGGUUGUCCCGGUUUAAGCGUGUAGGCUGGUUUUCCAGGCAAAUCCGGAAAAUCAAGGCUGAGGCGUGAUGACGAGGCACUACGGUGCUGAAGCAACAAAUGCCCUGCUUCCAGGAAAAGCCUCUAAGCAUCAGGUAACAUCAAAUCGUACCCCAAACCGACACAGGUGGUCAGGUAGAGAAUACCAAGGCGCUUGAGAGAACUCGGGUGAAGGAACUAGGCAAAAUGGUGCCGUAACUUCGGGAGAAGGCACGCUGAUAUGUAGGUGAAGUCCCUCGCGGAUGGAGCUGAAAUCAGUCGAAGAUACCAGCUGGCUGCAACUGUUUAUUAAAAACACAGCACUGUGCAAACACGAAAGUGGACGUAUACGGUGUGACGCCUGCCCGGUGCCGGAAGGUUAAUUGAUGGGGUCAGCGCAAGCGAAGCUCUUGAUCGAAGCCCCGGUAAACGGCGGCCGUAACUAUAACGGUCCUAAGGUAGCGAAAUUCCUUGUCGGGUAAGUUCCGACCUGCACGAAUGGCGUAAUGAUGGCCAGGCUGUCUCCACCCGAGACUCAGUGAAAUUGAACUCGCUGUGAAGAUGCAGUGUACCCGCGGCAAGACGGAAAGACCCCGUGAACCUUUACUAUAGCUUGACACUGAACAUUGAGCCUUGAUGUGUAGGAUAGGUGGGAGGCUUAGAAGUGUGGACGCCAGUCUGCAUGGAGCCGACCUUGAAAUACCACCCUUUAAUGUUUGAUGUUCUAACGUUGACCCGUAAUCCGGGUUGCGGACAGUGUCUGGUGGGUAGUUUGACUGGGGCGGUCUCCUCCUAAAGAGUAACGGAGGAGCACGAAGGUUGGCUAAUCCUGGUCGGACAUCAGGAGGUUAGUGCAAUGGCAUAAGCCAGCUUGACUGCGAGCGUGACGGCGCGAGCAGGUGCGAAAGCAGGUCAUAGUGAUCCGGUGGUUCUGAAUGGAAGGGCCAUCGCUCAACGGAUAAAAGGUACUCCGGGGAUAACAGGCUGAUACCGCCCAAGAGUUCAUAUCGACGGCGGUGUUUGGCACCUCGAUGUCGGCUCAUCACAUCCUGGGGCUGAAGUAGGUCCCAAGGGUAUGGCUGUUCGCCAUUUAAAGUGGUACGCGAGCUGGGUUUAGAACGUCGUGAGACAGUUCGGUCCCUAUCUGCCGUGGGCGCUGGAGAACUGAGGGGGGCUGCUCCUAGUACGAGAGGACCGGAGUGGACGCAUCACUGGUGUUCGGGUUGUCAUGCCAAUGGCACUGCCCGGUAGCUAAAUGCGGAAGAGAUAAGUGCUGAAAGCAUCUAAGCACGAAACUUGCCCCGAGAUGAGUUCUCCCUGACUCCUUGAGAGUCCUGAAGGAACGUUGAAGACGACGACGUUGAUAGGCCGGGUGUGUAAGCGCAGCGAUGCGUUGAGCUAACCGGUACUAAUGAACCGUGAGGCUUAACC